rnacentral:lncRNA from 1 species
GUCGUGCGCCGACACCACUUCGUGUUCGUGGCUGUAGACUCUCUGCGCCGGCCUGUGCCUGUUUCCACGGCCACCGGUCACCCUCUUCCCGAGGAGCUAGCUAGCUAGGGCUGUCCUGAUCCAUUUGCAGCUCGCAGCCGCCUUGGCUCAAACCACUGCACCAUGCCAUGCCAGGUCCAGUUCACCUGCAAUCACACUCUCUAUCAGAGCUUCACAUCGAGAUCGAUCCGUGCGUAGAAAUUCAGCUCUGCUUACCGCCGUCCACUUGCGUGAAUUGCUUGCUCGUAGGCGCGCGGAAGUCCGGAGAGUACGUCCGGAUAAUAAUCUUUCCUCUCGCUGUAAAGCUAGUUUGUACAGAGUGUGGACGGCGGUUAGUCCAGAUCGAAACGAAAGUUAAGCAAAAUGGGAUUGCAUUUUUCUAGUAAAGUUUACUAAAAAAAGUAUAUUAAUCUGUAUUCUUUUAAUAAAAUUUUAGUACAGAAAAGAUUAAAUUAUUUGAUUUUUUUUUUAAAAAAAAACAAAAUAAAAACUGUAUUGUUUUAUGGACGUAGGAGGAGCUAGCACCUAGCAGCAGCCAAGUCGUUCACGUAGUUUAAAAAAAACAAAAGAAAAGUCUUUGACGUACGUUGUUUGAGAAUCUCAGUCAGAUGUGGCACAGUAGUGCCAUUUCAGAUCCCCUGUGGAUGCUUUUGCGAGCUUUCCCUGUCACACCAUUUCCAUUUGGUUGCAU